rnacentral:rRNA from 1 species
CUACGGGUUGCACCAGUGAGGAAUAUUGCACAAUGGGGGGAACCCUGAUGCAGCAACGCCGCGUGGAGGAUGACGCAUUUCGGUGUGUAAACUCCUUUUAUAUGUCAAGAAAAUGACGGUAGCAUAUGAAUAAGCACUGGCUAACUCCGUGCCAGCAGCCGCGGUAAUACGGAGGGUGCAAGCGUUACUCGGAAUCACUGGGCGUAAAGGGCGCGUAGGCGGGUUGGAAAGUCAGGUGUGAAAUCCUACAGCUUAACUGUAGAACUGCACUUGAAACUUCUAAUCUAGAGUAUGGGAGGGGGAGAUGGAAUUAGUGGUGUAGGGGUAAAAUCCGUAGAUAUCACUAGGAAUACCUAAAGCGAAGGCGAUCUCCUGGAACAUUACUGACGCUAAGGCGCGAAAGCGUGGGGAGCAAACAGGAUUAGAUACCCGGGUAGUC